UUUCUAAGAAGUUGCUACCGAGUUUCUGUGCUCGAACCUGAAGGCAAUCAAAUGUUAGUUUCUUGAUUAUUACUAGUCUUUUGUUGGUCUCAUCCUAGUACCAGGCUACCAGCCAUUAAGGAAGGCCUCGAAGAACCCUCGGCCACCAUCACAUACACCAGCAGCAAUGUCAUGUCGAUCCAACCAUUACGGCGCUAAAAUGGUAAUGGAACACUACUUGACUGAGCCUACUAUGCUAUAUCUAAGACGUGUCAUGAUCAUCCGGUAAUACUCCAUGGGGAUUUCAACGCUAAAACUUAAGUACCCACAAGCAGCAUUGCAACAAGCUGUGAGUUCUUGCGGCUGGCUCCUACGAUUGUCACUGCAAGUCAUGCUCUUCAUUGCGUGAAGCAGCCGAGCACAAGUGCACAAAA